rnacentral:misc_RNA from 1 species
GAUGAAGAACGCAGCGAAAUGCGAUAAGUAAUGCGAAUUGCAGAUUUCAGUGAAUCAUCGAAUCUUUGAACGCACAUUGCGCCCCUUGGUACUCCAUGGGGCAUGCCUGUUCGAGCGUCAUUUACACCCUCAAGCUCAGCUUGGUGUUGGGCGUCUGUCCCGCUUCGUGCGCGGACUCGCCUCAAAUGCAUUGGCAGCGGUCUUGCCAGCUUCUCGCGCAGCACAUUGCGCUUCUAGAGGCUUUGGCGGAUCGGCGUCCAUCAAGUACACCCACAGUUUGACCUCGGAUCAGGUAGGGAUACCCGCUGAACUUAAGCAUAUCAAUAGCGGAGGA